AUACUUACCUGGUAGGGGCGACUCCAUGAUCAGGCAGGUGGAUCGCCUAGAGUGAGCCAUUGCACUCCAGCUUUUCUGACCUCUAUGAAUUCUCCACAUGUGAGAAUAUCAACUGCAUAAUUUUUUGCUAGUGGGGACUGCAUUCGCGCUCUGCCUGA
rnacentral:snRNA from 1 species